UUUAUUUGAGACUCUGAGAGAGUUUAUGUGUUUAUCUGCUUAUAUUCUCUAAACCUGACAAAUUUUGAAAACCCUAGCUCUUUGGGGUCUAUUUGAGUUCCUGAAAUCCUUCGUCUGUUUGAAAUUGCUCAAUUUGAUUCCUUUGCUUCAACAUCUAUGUUCCUUUAUGUGAUUUCUUUUGGUUCUGAGUUCUUUCUACUUGUCAAAUUUGAGUAUGAUUUUCACUGACUCCUUGCAUGCUUCUGGUCCUUUCUCUGUCACUAAAUCACUGAAACCUGACUUACGUGACUAUCAUGUCAUUAUUCUCUUUGUCAUUAGUAU
rnacentral:lncRNA from 1 species